AUUGAACGCUGGCGGCAGGCCUAACACAUGCAAGUCGAGCGGAUGAAGGGAGCUUGCUCCUGGAUUCAGCGGCGGACGGGUGAGUAAUGCCUAGGAAUCUGCCUGGUAGUGGGGGAUAACGUCCGGAAACGGGCGCUAAUACCGCAUACGUCCUGAGGGAGAAAGUGGGGGAUCUUCGGACCUCACGCUAUCAGAUGAGCCUAGGUCGGAUUAGCUAGUUGGUGGGGUAAAGGCCUACCAAGGCGACGAUCCGUAACUGGUCUGAGAGGAUGAGCAGUCACACUGGACCUGAGACGCGGCCCUGGCUCCUACGGGAGGCCGCGGUGCGGACUGUUGGACAAUGGGCGAAAGCCUGAUCCAGGCAUGCCGCGCGUGUGAAGAAGGUCUUCGGAUUGUAAAGCACUUUACGUUGGGAGGAAGGGCAGUAAGUUAAUACCUUGCUGUUUUGACGUUACCAACAGAAUAAGCACCGGCUACCUUCGU
rnacentral:rRNA from 1 species